rnacentral:misc_RNA from 1 species
GUGAAAUUUGGGCGUCUCUUCCACAGAGAGCCCGUCUUCCACAUUUAACCCUGCGCACUUGACCCUAGUCUCGUGUGUUUGUCAGUCAAGCUCAGUUUCUUUAGAAACCGAGCUGGCGAAAACCUUUUUUAACGCAAGUUGAUGAAUGUAAUUUACAAACUAAACCAAAAA